GAUGAACGCUGGCGGCGUGCCUAAUACAUGCAAGUCGAGCGAAUGGAUUAAGAGCUUGCUCUUAUGAAGUUAGCGGCGGACGGGUGAGUAACACGUGAGUAACCUGCCCUUGACUCUGGGAUAACUGCUAGAAAUGGUAGCUAAUACCGGAUACGACCCUCGGAGGCAUCUCCAGGGGGUGGAAAGAAUUUCGGUCAAGGAUGGACUCGCGGCCUAUCAGCUAGUUGGUGACGUAACGGCUCACCAAGGCGACGACGGGUAGCCGGCCUGAGAGGGUGACCGGCCACCGUGGGACGGAGACACGGCCCAGACUCCUACGGGAGGCAGCAGUGGGGAAUAUUGCACAAUGGGCGCAAGCCUGAUGCAGCAACGCCGCGUGAGGGAUGACGGCCUUCGGGUUGUAAACCUCUUUUAGUAGGGAAGAAGCGAAAGUGACGGUACCUGCAGAAAAAGCACCGGCUAACUACGUGCCAGCAGCCGCCGUAA
rnacentral:rRNA from 1 species